rnacentral:rRNA from 1 species
AUUGAACGCUGGCGGCAUGCUUUACACAUGCAAGUCGAACGGUAACAGGCCGCAAGGUGCUGACGAGUGGCGAACGGGUGAGUAAUGCAUCGGAACGUGCCCAGUCGUGGGGGAUAACUACUCGAAAGAGUAGCUAAUACCGCAUACGAUCUAUGGAUGAAAGCGGGGGACCGUAAGGCCUCGCGCGAUUGGAGCGGCCGAUGUCAGAUUAGGUAGUUGGUGGGGUAAAGGCUCACCAAGCCAACGAUCUGUAGCUGGUCUGAGAGGACGACCAGCCACACUGGGACUGAGACACGGCCCAGACUCCUACGGGAGGCAGCAGUGGGGAAUUUUGGACAAUGGGCGCAAGCCUGAUCCAGCAAUGCCGCGGGCAGGAAGAAGGCCUUCGGGUUGUAAACUGCUUUUGUACGGAACGAAACGGCUCUGGUUAAUACCCGGGGCUAAUGACGGUACCGUAAGAAUAAGCACCGGCUAACUACGUG